rnacentral:rRNA from 1 species
CCUACGGGGGGCAGCAGUGGGGAAUAUUGGACAAUGGGCGAAAGCCUGAUCCAGCCAUGCCGCGUGUGUGAAGAAGGCCUUCGGGUUGUAAAGCACUUUCAGUGGGGAAGAAAGCCUUGGGGCUAAUACCCUCGAGGAAGGACAUCACCCACAGAAGAAGCACCGGCUAACUCCGUGCCAGCAGCCGCGGUAAUACGGAGGGUGCGAGCGUUAAUCGGAAUUACUGGGCGUAAAGCGCGCGUAGGCGGUCUGAUAAGCCGGUUGUGAAAGCCCCGGGCUCAACCUGGGAACGGCAUCCGGAACUGUCAGGCUAGAGUGCAGGAGAGGAAGGUAGAAUUCCCGGUGUAGCGGUGAAAUGCGUAGAGAUCGGGAGGAAUACCAGAGGCGAAGGCGGCCUUCUGGACUGACACUGACGCUGAGGUGCGAAAGCGUGGGUAGCAAACAGGAUUAGAUACCCUUGUAGUC